CAGAGCAUUGUGGCAACACACAACAUGAGAAAGGAGCAACAAAAGAAGACCCAAUGCUGGAUGAGCAAAGCACAUUAGGGUGAAAGAGACCAGUAUCAUAGCAAAUAAUGGAUUGAAUCUUAUGAUCCUGACAACCUGUUUCAAUAGAAAGCACAUUAGGGUGAAAGAGACCAGUGUCAUAACAAAUAAUGGAUUGAAUCUUAUGAUCCUGACAACCUGUUUCAAUAGUGAAAACUUAUAUUAAGAAAACAAGCACAAUGCAGAAAAUUUAAUUAGAUAUUGAAAUUUCGACAACCACUAAGAUUAGAGGACAAGGAAUGCAGAAUACAUUCAAUUU
rnacentral:lncRNA from 1 species